rfam:Mycobacterium kumamotonense strain Roo Mkuma_contig000031, whole genome shotgun sequence.
CAGGUUCCGGUUCACGUCCAGCCCAAGGGCGGGCGACCCGGCGACC